UAAUUUAACGGAUUUUUUUUCCUUCCAAAUAUUUUCUUUUUUUUCUUCUCUGGUGGGGCUACCCGACUCGACUACGCUACACUUCCGGUGAAUAAGGUCAAUAUGCAAAACAGGUUAGCUACUUCCGACUAUGCUUCAUGCACGAAACAUCGCCAGGACCCAACCUAAAGUACUCAGUGCCCUUGGAGAGCAACCCCCAGCUCCAGAGACCCAGCACACCCCCGCCACCGCCUGUUCACCCUCCUGCCCUCUGCAAAGCCCUACAGGACUAUUUACCUCCACAUCCCCAGGCUGAGGAGUAGCUUCUGCCCCAAAGCCAUCAGUCAUCUUAGCCGAGCAGGGAACAGCAAACCCAAAUUACCCCCCCAACACCUCCAGGAGCAGUCCGUACGCACCCAUCUGCCAACCUGCCCCCCCAGACUACUGACUGUUUAUAGGGCUGCUAAUUCUAAACCACAUGACUGUUGCCAAUUAAAAAAAAAUUGUCUAAUGCUGCUGAAACAUAUGACUACACUUUGAUUCAGCUUCAUACUGUACAUCUAUACUGUACAUCACUUCUGAUUUACUUUCCUGUUUUUUAUUUCUCUUAAAACUUUGAUAGGAGGCACACAAUUUUGUUAUACAUGCACAAUGAUAAUAAAGAUAUUCUAAAUAUG